UUAAGCAUCUUUACUCCCAUUUUGCAGAUCUGCACAAUGACAGUGCAGAUGAGAGCAGCUCAUGAAGCCAGCUCAGCAGGAAGAGCAGGGCAUAUGCUAUCAGGACUGAUGUGUCUGCCUGGCAAGUGCAGAGUGGAGCGGAGUUGAUUACGGACAGGAAGGAGGGCAGCUGAAGAGUAUCUGCCUAAACAGAGAACAUCUGUGAGCCAGCUUUGACAUCCUGUGCCUUAUGACCAUCUCCCGAGGACCAGCUGGAAAAGACACACUUUGAGAAGUAGCCCUCUCGAUUCUCCAAAAGCAACUUCGUGACCAGUUUUGAAAUGAAUGGAAAACAUGAUCUUCCUUCAGAUCAGCUUCUUCCAAGCCAGUGUUUAUUUCAUAUUUCUGAAGUUUUCUGGCUUAGUUUCCCUUGAAAGUCAACAUUCUUGGUCUCUUCCCCCUGUCCCAGCAUGUUUAAACUGAGAUGGCGCUCUUUCUUGUUUCCUUAGAGCUCUUGCCAAGUCACUGGGCAUAAGUCUUCUGUUCAUCUCCUGAGAGUUUUCAAUAAAACAUGUCUUGAGUCUC